UGCUUUCUUUACAGAAUGACAGGGAGAGAAUUUUUCUCUCGUUUUCCAACACUUCAUCCCUUUCUUCUCAAGCAACUGGAAGUUGUGGCCAAUACUGUGGAUAGUGACAACAGUGAAUUGAAUCUUCACCCAAAUCUGUUUCUCUUGCUGCUGAUCUUGGGAAAACUGUACCCUUCCCCUAUGGAUGGUGCUUCCUCAGCACUCAGCAUGGCACCCUUUGUCCCCUUCAUUAGGAGGUGUGGUCAUUCUGCUGUCUACCGUUCUAGAGAAAUGGCGGCACGGGCCUUGGUACCAUUUGUCAUGACUGACCAGAUCCCAAAUACCAUUCAAUCUCUGUUGUCCGAACUACCCAACUGUACAGACCUGUACAUCCGGCAGAACCACAUUCAUGGGAUCCUUUUGCAAGUUUUUCAUUUGUUACAGUCCUACUCAGACUCCAAACACAGAGCGAAUUCAGACUUUCAGCAGGAGCUGACUGACAUCACUGCUUGUAUCAGGGCCAAACUCUGGCUGGCCAAAAGGCAGAACCCUUGCCUGGUGACCAGAGCUGCCUGUAUCGAUAUUCUCAUCCUUCUGACUCGCUGCCUUGACAAAGGCCCAGAGGGAAGCCGGCCAGGUCUCAAAAUCUUUGGCUUCUGGGAAGAGGUUGGCACGAUCAUCUCUGAAUCUGAACUAAAAACUGGAAUCCCCUAUUCUUCUGCCAUUCCUGGUCUGAUCCAGUAUUUGCAGAGCCUCACCAGACUUGCGAUAGCCGCCAUGUUUGCCACAGCCACUGACUACAAUGAGAAGACGAAGGACAGUCCCAUCUCUUUGAUUCAGCUGUUACAGUCUGACUUCCCUGAAGUACGCCUGCUGACAUUGGAAAACUUGCUGCCUUUGGUGACACCAGCCGCCCCUGAGCAGAACACAGGAGAAAAGAAAGACUUCCUGCCUUCCCUCCCUGAUGUAGGGGAGAAGCUCUUGAAGAUGGCCAUGGAAGAAAAACACCAAGAUUGCUUGGCCAAGGUUUUGAACAUUCUCCAUUCCAUGGAUAUCAGCAAGUGGCUUCCUCUGAUUGAAAGUUGUAUCCACCAGACCGCAAAGGAAUUCUUGACCUGGACAAUGGAUAUUGCAAAUAAUUCAAAUGACAGAAUCAAAAUUCAGAGUGAAGCUCUGAAGCUUUCCUCCAAAAUGGUCACCCACCACGUACAGAAAAAUAAAGAGAAUUUGCCCGCAAUAGAAAUGGAGCUGAAGCAGUGGGUCCAAUUAGUGGCCUGUUGCUGUGGAGGCGAGCUCCAGACAGAGACCAAACUGGCAGCUGCUGAAGUCCUCAUCAGCAUCACACCAUUUUUCCUGACCAGCCAACAUCCAGUUCUUGAUCUUCCAGAUACAAUGACUCUCUGGAAAUGCGUCUUCAUACUCCUGCAGAGUGAGGAGCAAACAGUCAGAGACAGAGCGUCUGAAGUAGUCCAUGCUGCUCUGUCCCAAGAAAACACCAGCCAGACCGGAGAUUCUGACUUCUCCUUGGUGGAUGCCGGGAAGGCCUUGGACUUGGCAAUGGCCUUGUUGUGUAAGCUCCUGCAGCAAUGGGACCAGCUGGGUGAAGGACUCAUGAUUCUAAUAGAAUGGCUCCUGGGAGAAGAUGUUUUGGGGGACUCUGCAGUGAACACACCUCAGGUGGAAGAAGACCCGGUGUUUGACAAAGGUGAAGAGAACAUUUGGGGAGAGGCACUAACUUAUGUCAGCCAUUUAGUCAAGCAUUUGUCUCCCCUCUGUAAGAAAAGUGUUCCUUCCCAGGAUCCGAAGGAGCUCAAUCAUCUGAGGAAAACAGCAUCCCAGCAGUAUGAGCACCUAUCACAGCUAUACAAAGAGCUGCCUCCAACUCCUGAAUUUUCCAAGACUGCUGACCAUACAAGACUGAACAUCCAGAAGGAAAGAACGUCAGCUUGCCUUAAGAUACUAGAUUUUCUUGAAGGGAAGGAGGAGAACCUUGAUUCCGAGCUGUUGAAAUUACCCUAUCUAUUGUCAUUUAAUUCUACAGAGAACAAAGCCUAAAUCUACCAAGUGAUACAGAAAAGCAGUGUGUUGUAGAGUUGGGGAAUUAUUUUCCUGUACUGAAUACACUGGAAAUGUUACCUAAUAAAAAUCCUUUUGUUCACUGUACCCCUUCCACCCCAGUGAAGUGGUGGACCAAGUUUCCUUUCUUACAAAAGUAUCUUUCUUCUGAAUACAUUUACUCAGUUCUUGCAAGUCAGCCAAAUUUAUUGCAGCUACUGUUGGAGGUGGAGUCAUUAAACUUGAGAUUUACCUUGCUUCCAGGUGCAGGCCACCUGCAGGCUUGAAUUAGCUAUUUUCUUCCCUAGAGUCUAGCUUAACUGUCUGCAUUUCCCUUCAGCUCUUUUUUAACUUGAUUUAAAAGGAGAAAAAAAUUAUUUGGAUUCUUUGAUCAGAUUUUAAAUUUUAUAUUCUAUUUUAGUAAAGAAGGAAAUACAUUCAAAUUGUUCUAUUUUUAAAAUCUGAGUGAAUUAAAGAGCAACUUCAUACAGAUAAUCUGAUCAUGUGGGAGACCUGCAAUAACCUAUAAUUCAAAAAAAAUCAUAUUUUGCCCCAAAUUAUUUUUUUAAAAAGCCUUAAAAUUUUGGUAUUUGUCCCUUUCCUCCCCUCCAACCCUCCCAAUCAAUGAAAUGAAUGACUUUAGUCUAUAAAGAAAUUAGCAGCAGUCCCAGAAGUUCUUAGAAAAGGUCAUGGGGAAAGAAGAUCCUGGCUGGGAGAAUAAUGAUUACCUUUCCUCACAUUUUGCUUGAUGAAAGUGACAAGAAGUUUCUCAGUCAGGAAAGCACAGACACUCCACAUCAUCCAUUUAAAAGCUGGAAACCUCUAAGAAAUUUCCUGAUACCUCCCAAAACACCCAGGAGGUGGCACCCUCGCAUGAGUUUUGCUAGAGCACUCUGAAAAAGCAGUUUCUAAUAACUUUAUUUUUCCUUUAAUUUACAACUUCAGAAGAGUCACAGAUUAUUAAGCAAUCAGGAUGUAUUUUAACAGCAACCAAGGGCUCACUUUUCAGUUCAAGCCAUCUGAGAAAGCCCCUUUUUAAUUUGUGUGAAUGAAAAUUCAUAAGUAUUUCAUUAACAUAUGGCAAGUGUUUAAUAAUGUCUUCUUAAGAGAUCAAUUAAAGUUAUUUUAAUGGUUUGUCUAAGUCUGAGGGGACAUUUAUGGGAAUAAGUUUUGAGAUGCUUAAUUUCAUUGCUGGAGAAUGUUGAAUUUUUAAUAUAUCAAGGGAUAGUGUGAGGGGAACAUCUUUGAUAUCCAAGGGGUGCAAACCAAGAAUUCCUAUGUAUCUUAAAUAUCUUAGGUAGAUGUCUAAAUGUUUCUUCAGACUACUAACUUGUCAGUUGAUCUUGGCUGAGCCACGUCACCUCUGGACGUUUGUAAACGUCCUUCUAUUUGUAAAAUGGAGUUUGGGCCAAUAAUUGCUAGUCUUUGCCAUCAUCUGAUUCCAUGUGUUUAUUAGUUCUCAACACCAAAAAGUAAAUGCUGAAUUCAAAUUCAAUGUGUUUUUGAGAUGGGAAAAUUAUUUUGAUCUUAGCUCCUUAGAAAUCACAGGGGUGACAACUGAGUAGCAUAUUACAAAAUUUAUGAUGCUGCCCGAAUUGUCUCUCUUGAACACAGGGAAAUCCAAACUCACUUAAAAAAAAAGUGUAUAACUUUCCAUUGCCCUUUUGCCUAUGAAAAGUUUCCCUGGUGAAAAAAUCAGGAGGGAAGUGAGAAUGGGGAGAAGGUGAUGUGUUGCUAAGUCUGGUAUCCCUGAUAUUUUUUAGUCAGAAAAUCAGCCUGGAGAAUGGAUAGGUUUUCAUUUUAAUUUUUUUUUUAAUGUUUCUGCUACUGACCCCAAUUACAGGAUCUAUGGAAAGCUCAAUUUCACACUAGAGUAAUGAAUUCUCCAGGAAAAAAGGAAUGGAAACCUUCUGAGAUUUGACAGAAGCUCUGGGAUUUCCUUAAGACAGACAUUCCCUCUCCCAUUGCUACCUCACUGUGAUUUAGUAAAUGGUCUGGGGAGUGUUGAUGGCUGAAGGAAAAACAUUCACCUGAAGAUAAUCUGAUGAACCUCUUCAAAUUAGGUAGGAUGAUUAUUAGACAAAAAAUAAGCACUUCACCCUGGACACUGAGAUUUUUCAGCCUGACCUAGGAAAGCUGUCACUCAAUUCCACUAGCAUAGCCUUUGAGAAGUCAGGACUUGGAUGGCAAGAUGUUAUUUAUUAUUCACAAAACUAUUUGCUUCCAGCACUUUGUUCUAGUAUCUCCAAUUUGAGUGACUCCUUCAAUUUUAUCGAAAGAAAACUGGAUUUGAUCCGAAUACUUCCACUGAGGCCAUUUUAGAUCCUGGUUAUUAAUCUAUUAAAAAAAAAAAAAAAAACUUGGGUCUUGAUUUUAAAGAUUUUUAGUUUCAGUUUGAAAAAUUGCUAUCUCCUCUACUCCCACCCCUCUCCAGCCCCCUAAUCAGAGCUUUGAGUUUCAUAGGAUUAGAGCUAGAGGUCAUAUGGUACAAUUUCAAUGAACAAAUUAAGGCCAGGAUUAAGUGCUAUCUGUGACUUGCCCAAGAUCAUGCUAAUUUCAUAGACUUUGGUCACUUCAAUCUCCUUUCUGGCCUGCCUUACUCGUCCCCACUUACAGCCUUGGACUACCUCUGAUUAUGACGAGUAAUUAGCGACAAGGGGGUAAGUGACUUGGCCAGUCACACAGGUAGUAAGAGUCGAGGGUCUGAGGCCGGAUUUGGACUGCGGGCCCGGGCUGUACGGACCCCCUAGCUGUCCCUGCUACCUGAUUUUAAGGCCAGGGCAGUCACGUUAUGCUAAACCCGACUUCCUGCCGGGCACCUAGCAAGCUCUUAAUAAACACUCAUGACUAGGCCAAAGUGACCGGGAAGAAAGAAAGGAGGGAAGAAGGCCGUCUGUGGAGGACGGCCACCACAAGCUGAUAUGGCUCCCAAGUGUCCCCCCGCGCCGUUCCUUGCUCACGAGAGGAGCCACAAGACCUUGACCACAGCACAGGAGGUAAGAAAGCAAAGCCCACAGCCCCGGGUCUCCGGUCCCCCGCACCGCCUCGGGUUAGCGGCCUUGUGUCCUGGCCGCCGCGGGUCGCCGCGUGGCUGGACAAAGCCGAAGGCUCGUGGGCGGGGCGCCCGCACCCCGGCCGUCUGAUUGGGAGCACCUGACAGAACGGAACCCCGGAAGGGAGGCGGGAAGGUGGGGGAGUAAGAAGCUCCCCGGCGGCCGUAGCCCAAAGGAGCGCUAGAGGGGGCUGUCUCCCCGGGAAACAGGACCCAGACCGCCAAGGUUUGGGCUCCCCCUGUGGUAGCCACCCCAGCUCAGGCUGGCGGAAGGCGGGCGUGGCACCUGGCUGCCGGGCUAGGCGUGAGACUUUCUUUGUAGUCUCUUUCUCCUGAGUCCUAAGACUUGAGAGGGUUGCAAGCACAGGAACCUGGGAAGCUGAAAGCGCUUAGGGGAAGGGCGGCCAUCGUCCAGUCCUCCUCUGGCCCGAAGAGGAGGAGAGGAGCUGCGAAAACAGCCAUUUCCCCCCUCACCCUGGCCUGGGCUCGGGCUCCCCCGCCCGGGACGGCCCGCGCCACUCACAGCGCCUUUGGCCCCGGCUCAAGGUCUUGUGAUGUGAUUAGCGAAGCCAGCUCCUUGUCCUCUGACACACAGCCCCGCCCCGGCUCGCUCGGGCCCUGUUUACUGCGGGCCCUGGCUGGGGGUGGCGGGGCGGAGCCUGGAGGACCCGGGCUUUUCCAGCCCUACCCAGCCUCACGCCCCUACCACCCCUCGGAGCAGGCGCACUUCCCUCGGGGCCUGGAGGAAGCCCCUACUGCCUUUUCCACGUGUUAGGUCGCCGCACUUCCUCCCCGAGGGGUUGCGGAGCCGGGAUCCCAAGUUUCCAAGCCUUCGUUUGGGGGUUGAGGCUUGCUGCAAUUCCCGUUCCCCUCCCCCUAAUUCCUUUCCGUCCGGUUCCCUAUACUUUGCAAACUAUGCAAGGGCAACGUGGAAGGUUGCAAUAUUCUAGCAUUUUGCAAUCCCUCCUCCGGACCGUUGAUAGCUCUAGUAUUAGAGCGUGAGGCAGGGAGUGAAUGAUCCAGUCCCCGGGGGCGUGGGCAGCCUCCAAGGCUGCUCACCCUAAGCCACGUUUAAAAGUCCCCGGGCUCAGCAGCGCAUGAGGCCCGAGAGGAGGAGAGCCGAAACGUACUAUGCCCCACAUGGCUCAGAAGGCUCAGCUUCUCCCCCGCGGCUGGGCGCUCGGCCCGCCCUCCCCGUCGUCCUCCCUCCCUUUCCCCGGCCCGCCCAGCGGGGCCCGGGCCACCCCUCCGACUCCCCCGCCCGCCUGGCUCAAAAAAAAAAAAAAUAGAAAGAAAAUUGGCGGCAGCCUAUGGGAGGACUCGAAGUCCCAUGACGUCGGUGGGAGCCGGCUGGGUGUGUUGCCUAGAGACCCCGGCAGGGUCAGCGUUCUGUCCCCUCCCCCGGCCUGCUCAGCCGUCUAUAUAGGGCGAGGGCUCGCCGGGCACAGAGUUCCAGCAGUCCGCUUGCUGUGCCCUCAGCUCCGGAGAAGUGGGUUGUUUUGGGGGGGCGGGGGGAGGGAAGAGGGAAAAAAAGAGGAGAGGCUUUUUAAAAGCAAGACUUUUUUUUAAACCUCGGACUCCAAAGAAUUCCAAAGCUUAGCCUCCGUUACCCGGUCUCUCCACCCUCUUCAAACUUUUUUUCCCCCCUCCCACCCUUACCCCUCUCCCGCCAGCCGUCGUGGCUCAUCCCAAGCCCUGCUGGACAGCGGGGUCCUUGGGUUCCUCCUGCAUCUGCGACCAUCACAGGACCUAGAAACAUGUCGACCACACUUUUGUCUGCCUUCUAUGACAUCGACUUCUUUUGCAAGGAAAUGUCAGCCCGAGAGAGAGAAGAAGAAGAAACGAGUUUCCUGUGGGGUGGGGCAGAGGGGAGGAAGCAGCCUGCUUAACCAAACCCUCUGGCCCCGGUGGAGAGCCCAGCCCUGCCCUGCCUCCUCAGCCCCGGGUCGGCAUCACCUCAGAAAUCCAGCUCGCAGGCUUAGGGGAGACCUACCCCAGACACAGAGCAGAGGCUUUCUCUGCUGACAUUAGCGGGAACAAUUCAUUCUUUUUUUUUUUUUUUUCUAAAAAAAGUGGGAAGGGGAAAGGGAGGGGGGAUUUAUUUUCAUCUUGGCAGAGUAGAAAUAUCUCUCAUCAAAUGGAAGGCCUUGUGUUCUGGGGGGCGGGGAGGGGGGAUCAGUGGGAAGCAGUUCUGAAAUGGAAGAAAAGAUAGUAAAGACUUGAGAGACAUGAAAGCACAUUCGCUCGCCGAAAGGGACUGAAAUAUUUCUCUAAAAAUAAGCUUUGCUUUAGUUGUGGAUUCCUCUGACAAUUCGGCUCUUGUGCGGGGGCUUAGCUGGCCCGAGGAACUGUGUGGAAUUUUUAAAAAGUGAGUGUUUCCCAGCUGUGGCCUUGGAAAGUUUUUUUUUUUUCCCUUCUCCUUUUCUGUUUUCCAUUUAUUAAAGCUUCCCAUUUCCGGUUCAUUAAAAUGAUUUUCAAGCAAAA